AGGACUUGGUCCUCUCCUAGACAGUCUCCUCUUCCUCUUGAAAGGUCAAACCUGCCCUGUUACAGUCAUCUCCUCCCAGCAUUGCUGGGUUUUGCUCCCUGUCUUUAUCCCAGUAGACUCCAGUUGGUCCCACUCCACCUCACGCUUCCUGUCCACCAGUGGAUUUUGUCCUGAGAUACUGACCUAAUUGGUGAGGUGUCCCCUUGGCCAUGCUCUGCAUUGAUGCUCAUGCUAACAGAGUAAUGCCUGAGCUUCACCAGGUCAGAAGUUGCAGAGUCUCAGAUCUCUCUUCAUCCAGGAGACCCGAACAACUGCAAGCACUUUUAGUACUUCUUUCUUGCCUGAAAUUUCCUCCAAAAUGUGUCAUCUACUGCUCAAAAGUCUGUAGUAGCUAAUAAUAAAAACUUGAUAUCUUCCUAAACUUUCCCCUGACUUUAAGAAAAUAAAUGACCUCACAAUCUGCUCUCUCAUACUUCUGGUCCUUAUCUGUACAUCUCCCAUAUCUUUUCUUGUCAUAACUUUCCACAGCCUCGCUCCAGCAGCCAUCCUAUCCAGAUGUUUUUACAUUUCUGUCUCCAAUUCCUGCCUCCAAGCAUUUCUUUCUUCCUGCAGGGGCUGCUUCCUCCUGCCAGCACUUACUUCAGUGGGAAUUUUUAUUAUUCCCACUUCUUGAACAGGAGCGACAUGGGACCCCAAACAGGAAUGGAGACUUUCUGUGUUCACAGGAAAACACACGGAAAGAGACAGUUCCUGCUUCAGAAAUCAGCAUUUCAAAAGAAAAGGCAGAAAUUAUAGAGGAGAAAAGUAGUAUGUCCUCCAUAAUACAGAUGGACACAGAGACCUGGAAUGACUGAUUUACCCAAUGUCACUCAGAAAGUCUGUUGGACAGCUUCAUACUGGACAUUUUCCAAGUCACAGUCUCCUGACCUCAACCUUUGUUAUGUCUGUGGAUAUCUUUCAGAUUUAAAAUGAAUCAUGAUCCAGCAAUAUGAAGAAUGAAUUGAACCAAAUUGAAAUGGA
rnacentral:lncRNA from 1 species